rnacentral:lncRNA from 1 species
AGAUUCCCGCCCCUGGCUUUUUGAUCGCCUUCACACAAGGGACCCUAAAAAAAUCAAAUUCCCUCUUUUUUCCUCCCUCUCUCUCUGUCUCUCUCCUCUCCUCUCUCCUCUCUCUCUCCCUCUCUCUCUGUCUCCUGUCUCUCUGCUCUCCUCUCUCCUCUCUCUCUCUGUCUCCUGUCUCUCUCCUCUCCUCUCUCCUCUCUCUCUCUCCUCUCUCCUCUUUGUCUCUUUUCUUCUCUCCUCUCCUCUCUCCUCUCUCUCUCUCCCUCUUCUCCUCUCUCUCUCUGUGAUUCCGUUUGGGACACUGCCCGUACAACAUUGGACACUUUUUUAGGACAGAAUGGCAGUUACCCCA